rnacentral:lncRNA from 1 species
UGGAUUCCUUUUUUUUUUCCCUAUAACAGCUCUAUCAAGCUAUAAUUCACAUGCCUUAAAAUUCACCUUUUUUGAAAUGUACAACUGAGUGAUUUGUAAUAUAUUCACAGAGUUGUGCAAUCUUAACAACUACUUAAUUCCAGAACAUUUACAUCACUUCAAAGAAACCCCAUACCCUAUAGCAGUCACUCCCAAUUCUCUUCUUCCACCCAUUCCCUGGAAACCACUAAUCUACUUUCCGUCUCUUUGGAUUUAACUACUCAGGACAUUUUAUAGUCAGCACGUAAGCCGGACUGUCUAGGAAAACCUCCCCUUCCUGUGUCUGGAGGUGUUGAAAAAAAUAAUUCAACAAUGCUGCCCCUGCUGGCCACCAGUGUACCAUGCAAUAAUUCCAUGGCCCCUGCCACAGCCCAGGAAAUGGAGGAAAUGGCCAGGCAGAAAUCAAAACCCUUAAAUCACUAGACAUGCUGAAGAAGAGAAUGUUGGGACUACAUUAUUUCAUGGACAGAAGAAACAUGAACUUUUUACUUGGGUAGUGGCAUAACCAGCCUCUCUUGGCCUAGAAGGAAUUGCAUGGAGCAAGAAAGGUGGACACCUGUCUGAAUUGAGUGAUUGAUCCACACAGGGGUCCCGUGGCUGGAAAACAAAUGCCCUGGAUAUUAGCUGGCUCUUAUCCAAAAGUUCUAAAGCCUUUUCCUAUCCAAGGGAAGCCACAUUUCUCCCCAGGUACAGCAAUUUCCAAUUACUUUAAGAGGAGGAAGAAAUAGAGGAAAUUUCACAAAACGACAGCCAGGCCUCUCUGGGAGGCUUGUCCUGAAUGCUCCUCACCUCUGAGCUCCUUGUGUACUGCCCACCCACAGACUCCUUUAUGAAGUUCAGCCAGCAAAGCCCCCAGCCCCCAGAGGGAAAUGGCCUAAUUAAAAUCACACUUCACACUGCCAAAUUGGAUAUGCUAGUCUCAGCUCCAAGAAUGUCUUGGAAAAGUAUCUGGAGUUGAGUGAGUCUUUCCCAGAAGGGAUUUUUUUGUUGUUGUUGUAACAAAUGGCAAAUUCAGCAGAUGGAGGGAAGAGGAAUCUUGGUUUGAAAUUUUCUGCUGGUCCAUGGUUCACUUCUCUUGCUUUCUUUCUAUGCCCCUGUUUCUUGUCAUAUGUUAUUGGACUUCCAUCUCCUCCUUUUACAUGAAUCUUGCCAGGAUGACAAGAUGAAAUAUUUAUCAUCAAACACCGCAUCUGUGUAGCACAGAGAUAAAGCAUAAGAGAAUUAGACACAGCAAAGCUUGUGUUUGAUUUCUGACCUUUCUUUUGAAAGCUGGGCAAGGUACUUCAUUAUUGAAAUCACAUUUUCCCUAUAUGUGAAAUGGGGAUAGUAAAUGCCCCACACAAUUGUAAUGUGGUUGACACAUUCUGAGUAGUAGAGAAAUGAUAGCUAUUAUUAUUAUAAUUAUCAGAUUUAUUUGUAGUAUCAGAGUAUUAUCAAUAGAUAACUUGAGCAAGACAUUAAAAUAUUAUCAAUUAUCCUUGAGUGUUUUGCCAUUAGCUAACUAUUGGAUCUUAGAAAAGUAGUUUUGGCUCCAUGAGCCUCAAUGUUGUCGUCUAUAAAAAGAGGAAUUUUGAAUAGCCAAUAUGUAAGAACUCUUCCGGCUCUAAUGCUCUACAAUUCACGCUAACCAAGAUUGACAUUCAUUGUUCACUUACUCACUUAUUCAAAUAUUUCAAUAAAAUUCAAUGUUUAUUCAGUCCAUACUGUGUACUAUACACUAUAUUCAGCAACCUACAUAGAUUAACUCACGAAGUCCUCAUAACAACACAACUUAUGAUCCAAAAAUAUCUUUUGUUUCAAAGUUUGCUGAAAGUCUUAUUCUCCUCUAUUCAAUCUAUGCUCUUUGACAUAAAGAUAAUAAUUUUAAAUCAAAGUUCUUAACUGCAUAAUAAAAGAGAAAAUAAUAACCAAUAUUUAUUAAAUUAGGUGCCUUUUAUGUGCCAGACACUGUGCUCAAUUAUUGGCACACUGUGUUGGACACAUCUUCUGUGUCAUAUUGGGUUCUCUUAGUGCUAAUCCCUUCUGGACCUCAAAAUGCUGGUAGCAUUUUAGACCUCAGUAGCUCUAAGUGUCAUUUCAAAAUUUCAUAAUCCCCUUAAUGAUUACCAACAGUUGAGCACCUACUGUUUACCUGGAAUAAUGAUGGUCAUUUCACAUAAAGCUUCAACUCCUUGAGACAUCAUGAGGAACUGUUAUUAUCCUAUUUCAUAAAGAAGGAAACUAAGACUCAGAGUAGCUAAGUAAUUUGUCCAAGGGCUUAUAGCUUUGGGAUUUGAACUCAAUUCUGUCUGAUUCUGGAACACAUGCUAAUUGUCAAAUUCGUAGUCACAAAAAACGGGUCACAGGUACACUCUGGAACAAGCGCUAUAGGGUACCUGUGACCCAUUUUCUGUGACUAAGAAUUUGACACCUUGUAGUAUUUGAAGCAUCUCUCAUGAAGCUUGCCUCUUCACCUUGUCAUGGUGCAGAAAUAAAGUAACUGGCCAAUUAAUUAAUAAAGGUAGAAUUCAGCAUAAGAAGUUUUACUUCAUUUAGACAACCUAAAAUUUAGAUCUGAAAUAAUGUUUUUUCUAGUUAUAAAAGCAAUAUGUAUUCAUUUUUAAACUUUUAGAAAAUCACAAAGAAGAGCGUAAAAGUUAUGCAUCAUCUUACAUCUAUGAAAAACAUAGCUAACAUUUCUUUUUCUGAAUUACUUAAUGGUUAGGUGCUCAAAUUAUGGAGUCAGACAGGCUUAGGUUCAAAUUCCAGCUCAGGCAAUUAAUUGCUAGAUGGAUUUGCAUAGAGAGGAUUCAUUUUCUGUUUGUUACAAAUUACUUCACUUUUAAAAUUAAAAAUAGUAGCCAACACUUCUAUAUUUACUUUGUGCCAGGUAAUCUUCUAACGCUUCAUAGAUAUAGCUUAUUUAAUUUUUACAAAAAAUCUUAUAGUGUGGAAAUGAAUGUUGUCUCCCCUUUGCCAAUGAGGAAACUGAGACAAAGAAAAGUAAAGUAAUUUCCAAAAUCACAUAGCAAAAAUGUUGUAGGGCUGGAAUUUGAAUCCAAGGUUUCUGACUCCACAACCUAUGUUCUCAAACAUUAAUGACACUGUUGCUGGUAUUGUUUAAUAUUAUUUCUUUAAUGAUUUUUAUUUUACAAAAUUAGAAUCAUAUUGAACAUAUUGUUUUGUUAUCUGCUUUCCUCAUUUAACAAUAUGCCUUCAACUUGUUUCCAGGUCAUUAAAUACUUUUAGGGAAUACAAUUUUUUGAUGUCUGUGUGGUAUUCAGUGAAUGCCUAAAAUGUAAUUAACUUAGCCAAAUCUCUAUCAUUAAGCAUUUUGGAUGUUUGUGAUUUUUCACUGUAAUAAACAAU